CAGGACCGUUGCCUCCACGUCCUCGCUAUUCCUCGCUAUGAAAAAGGGCAGCCGACAGUAGGAAGUCGUGGCUCAUCCAAAUCUAUGCUACACAUCUUCUGCUUCGCCACCCGCUCCCUCUCGCCGGCGCCGACACAUGGGUGGGUCAGACCCUGCGCCGCGCCUUGGGGCGCCUGAGGCCCCCUCCCCCGCCUCCGCCCCCGGCAAGGCCCCCGCGCGCCCACCCUCCCCCGCCUCCACCACGGGCCGCACCAGCGGCUGCUGCUGGCGGCGGCAGAAGUCCUCCCCAGGAUCGGCUCGACGUGCCACAUGAUGUGUGCAGAUCGGAUGAAGAAUACAAGAGGAAGGACCUUGAGGAAGACUGAAGAACAAUGUAUGGAUCUUCAAUUAUAAUGAUGAUCAUAGCAGGGAGAUAUACCAUACUAAGAGGAUGCAAAGGUUUGUUUCUAUUAUAUUCUUUUCACUCUACCUUGCUUAUUUUGUCUACCUCAUCUUAAACGCAAAAUUCAAAAUGGUUCCCAACUUAUAUACCAUAGAGUAGGGAUGCAGGCGGACGGUGUCCAUAUGUCCGCAAAGCAAUAACUGCACUAAUUUGCAUUACAUUAAUAACCGUGUUAGUGUUUAUGUUCCUUCAGUCUGCACACCCCUGAUGGGCAUAAUGUUGUUAGUUCAACCAGUGAGUUCAACUACAGGAAAUUAUGUUGAAGAGGGAGAUAUGGUUGUAAACCUUAGUUCUAUAAAGACAAACAUGCAUGCUGACAACGGAUUGAGCAUACCACAACUUCAUCAUAUAAGCACUGAUGUAGAAAUAUCAAGUUUGGAAGAGCACGAAACAAUAAAACAGUUGAUUAAGGCUUCACUUGGUAAUGACAACUCCAUGUGGUCAAAGGUUUGCAACCUGAUUUCCUUACAAAAUGUAGUUACUAGGGGAACCCAAAGUACUUAAUUUUAUAAUAGUUCAGGUUGUUUUUUCUCAAGCAUAAUCUUCUAAUUUCUGAGCUAAACAAUAAUGUGUAUUUGAAAAAUAGGGUUCAAACUAUUUGCAUUCUAAUUCCAGCCUUUCAGUACAUGAGGUGCUGGCUGCUAGGCAGAUUGCUUUGUUUUUAAUUGCUGAGAUGCUCAAUAAUCAGGUCCACUAUUCAUGCCUAUGCACAGGAAGAUUAGUUUAAUUGAUCAUUCUUUUUUAUAUUAAUGAUUAGUUUGCUCUCAAAAAGAUGCUUUAGAAGAAUCUAUUGAGUUGCUUCUUGAAAAAGUUCUGCAUGUGGCAAAAGAUGCGGUGGCAAAGGUAUACCCUUUAUAUUAUCAUUAGAUCUGUUCUUUGUUCGACUUUACUGUUUUCUUACCUUAAUAUUUUUUUUGGGUAUGCAGAUUUCAAAUGAAGCGAACCGAUGCAUAAAUAUUUUGUUGGCAAAAUAAGAUCCUUUCAGAUAUCUUGUUGUAUGUACAAAUCAUUUCUCUUUAUGUAUCACUGUUACUUUUGUUUCUGCUUCGUGCAUCCCUACAUAGUUGGUAUCAUGGGUUAUCAACCCCUCAAACCUGUUCUGCUAUCGGAUACCAACCAGAUCAAUUUAGUGUGAGAUCAGUUUUCAGUUGAACCAAUUUUAUAGCUGAAUAUGUUGCUUUGUUGGAACGUAUGAAGGUUUGAGAAGAAGUACAUUGCAACUUAAUGCAAAACCAUAUAACCAUGGUUCUUGGAAUCGGCUUGAAUGUAGCAGUUUUGAUAGAUAUGAAUAUAUCUAUAUAUUUCUCUGUUUCUAUCUUUAACAACUUGCUUUUAUGUAAUUUCUGUUGUGUAACCAGAUUUACCCUUACCUUGGCAGUGUGUCUUGUGUGAAAUACACAUAUGAUGUUCUUAUAAAUAGUAAUUCCAUUAGUUGUCCUUUGUUUGUAACUUAGUUGAGUGGUCUAGUUGUACAUGAUUAAAUUCUGGAUAGAAACUACUUUGUGGAAAUGUGAAAGCUUGACUUAUGCCUCCGUGGGCUGGAGCUGGAGGCUGCGCUGCUCUAUGUGCAGGUGGGUAGUCGAAGGAGGUCACCGAGGGAAAGCUGGCAAGUUGCAGCGACAGGAAAGCUGGCAAGCUGCGGCGACCGCGGACGUAUGGGGUGGCGGCCAGGUCGUUGGCCCUCGGCGCGAACUUGAUGUUCUAUGGUCUGAAUUCAGUUUGAUUUUUGUUUUGUUUUACUUGCUAUCUGCUGCCUCUUAGACCAGUUUGAAGGAUGUCCGCUUGCUUUCCAGUAUAUCCCAAGCCUUUGCUGUGGCUACUAAAACCACCACUCGCAAGGACAAGUGAAGACUGCUACCCUGUUGCUGUCCUCAUACGCUUGUACUUUCAGUGUUUUGAACAAACCCAGGCUUUAGCACUAAUAAAGGUUGCCUGGACAACAAAGCCGUUUACAAUA